GACGAACGCUGGCGGCGUGCCUAAUACAUGCAAGUAGGACGCUGAAGGAGGAGCUUGCUCUUCUGGAUGAGUUGCGAACGGGUGAGUAACGCGUAGGUAACCUGCCUGGUAGCGGGGGAUAACUAUUGGAAACGAUAGCUAAUACCGCAUAACAGUAGAUGUUGCAUGACAUUUGCUUAAAAGGUGCAAUUGCACCACUACCAGAUGGACCUGCGUUGUAUUAGCUAGUUGGUGGGGUAACGGCUCACCAAGGCGACGAUACAUAGCCGACCUGAGAGGGUGAUCGGCCACACUGGGACUGAGACACGGCCCAGACUCCUACGGGAGGCAGCAGUAGGGAAUCUUCGGCAAUGGACGGAAGUCUGACCGAGCAACGCCGCGUGAGUGAAGAAGGUUUUCGGAUCGUAAAGCUCUGUUGUAAGAGAAGAACGAGUGUGAGAGUGGAAAGUUCACACUGUGACGGUAUCUUACCAGAAAGGGACGGCUAAUUACGUG
rnacentral:rRNA from 1 species